CGGAACGUACCCAAAAGUGGGGGAUAACGUAGCGAAAGUUACGCUAAUACCGCAUACGAUCUAUGGAUGAAAGCGGGGGACCUUCGGGCCUUGUGCUCCUGGAGCGGCCGAUAUCUGAUUAUCUAGUUGGUGAGGUAAAGGCCCACCAAGGCGACCAUCAGUAACUGGUCUGAGAGGACCACCAACCACACUGGAACUGACACACGGUCCAAACUCCUACGGAAGGCAACAGUGGGGAAUUUUGGACAAUGGGCGCAAGCCUGAUCCAGCAAUGCCGCGUGAGUGAACAAGGCCUUCGGGUUGUAAAGCUCUUUUGUCAUGGAAUAAA
rnacentral:rRNA from 1 species